ensembl:piRNA 21ur-14126 ncRNA
UUGUUUUUCUUGCUGAAAAAG